rnacentral:rRNA from 1 species
CAGUAGCCACGGUAAUACGGAGGGUGCAAGCGUUAAUCGGAAUUACUGGGCGUAAAGCGCACGCAGGCGGUCUGACAAGUCAGAUGUGAAAUCCCCGGGCUUAACCUGGGAACUGCAUUUGAAACUGUCAGGCUGGAGUCUUGUAGAGGGGGGUAGAAUUCCAGGUGUAGCGGUGAAAUGCGUAGAGAUCUGGAGGAAUACCGGUGGCGAAGGCGGCCCCCUGGACAAAGACUGACGCUCAGGUGCGAAAGCGUGGGGAGCAAACAGGAUUAGAUACCCCGGUAGUCCCUGUCUCUAUACC